rnacentral:tRNA from 1 species
GGAGGUGUGGCCGAGUGGUUUAAGGCAACGGUCUUGAGAACCGUCGAUGGGGAGACCUAUCCUAGAGUUCGAAUCUCUACACCUCCGCCA